GGUUCUUACCUACAUAAAUGUACAACUAAAAAUAAGAAAAAGAUAGAACAUAAAUGAUCCAAUACCAGAAAUUGAACAAUUACACACAGAGAUGGCAACACGGAUGAUACAACAGCACAGAGGUACCAUAUUUAUAUAAACAUAACUGUAGAAUCCUAGAACAUAAACUCUGGUAAUUUACAGGAUGCGCGGAAGACAAAUUUCAA
rnacentral:misc_RNA from 1 species